rnacentral:rRNA from 1 species
UACGGAGGGGACUAGCGUUGUUCGGAAUUACUGGGCGUAAAGCGCACGUAGGCGGCUUUGCAAGUCAGAGGUGAAAGCCUGGAGCUCAACUCCAGAAUUGCCUUUGAGACUGCAUCGCUUGAACACGGGAGAGGUGAGUGGAAUUCCGAGUGUAGAGGUGAAAUUCGUAGAUAUUCGGAAGAACACCAGUGGCGAAGGCGGCUCACUGGACCGUUGUUGACGCUGAGGUGCGAAAGCGUGGGGAGCAAACAGG